rnacentral:rRNA from 1 species
CCUACGGGUGGCAGCAGUGAGGAAUAUUGGUCAAUGGACGAGAGUCUGAACCAGCCAAGUAGCGUGAAGGAUGACUGCCCUAUGGGUUGUAAACUUCUUUUAUAUGGGAAUAAAACGUUCCACGUGUGGGAGUUUGUAUGUACCAUAUGAAUAAGGAUCGGCUAACUCCGUGCCAGCAGCCGCGGUAAUACGGAGGAUCCGAGCGUUAUCCGGAUUUAUUGGGUUUAAAGGGAGCGUAGGUGGAUUGUUAAGUCAGUUGUGAAAGUUUGCGGCUCAACCGUAAAAUUGCAGUUGAAACUGGCAGUCUUGAGUGCAGGAGAGGUAGGCGGAAUUCGUGGUGUAGCGGUGAAAUGCUUAGAUAUCACGAAGAACUCCGAUUGCGAAGGCAGCUCACUGGACUGCAACUGACACUGAGGCUCGAAAGUGUGGGUAUCAAACAGGAUUAGAUACCCGUGUAGUC